rnacentral:miRNA from 1 species
UGGAAGGGUUUCCUUCCAGCCGGCGAGGUACAUGUACCUCGACAGCUGGAAGGAAAUCCUUCCAGUCGACGAGGUACAUGUACCUUGUCGACUGGAAGGAAACCCUUCCAGCCGGCGGGGUAUAUGUACCUCGCCGGUUGACUGGAAGGAAAUCCUUCUG